rnacentral:rRNA from 1 species
UACGAAGGGGGCUAGCGUUGUUCGGAAUUACUGGGCGUAAAGCGCACGCAGGCGGUCCGUUAAAUUAGAAGUGAAAGCCCUGGGCUCAACCCGGGAAUUGCUUUUAAGACUGGCGGACUUGAAUCCGGAAGAGGGCAGUGGAAUUCCCAGUGUAGAGGUGAAAUUCGUAGAUAUUGGGAAGAACACCAGUGGCGAAGGCGACUGCCUGGUCCGGCAUUGACGCUCAUGUGCGAAAGCGUGGGGAGCAAAC